AGAAAUAUGUAUCGCGCAAGAGAGCUUCCAGUUUUGCUCAUCGUUUGAAUAUUCUUUGGUUAAAUAUCAAAUUUUACACAAAAUGUUGUUAAAUUGCAUUAAAUAUGUGCUCACAAGAGUCAUGUGUUAAAAUUGAGUGUUUGUUAUGGAUCAUGUUUGAAGGAUGCAUAUGGAUUGCAUGUGUGGAGUUUGGCCACAUUUUUGCACAUGCAGGACUGGGGUUUAUUUCACCUGAGGCACCACAACAGCUAUGUCAGCUAUGCUAGACGUCUUGUAAGCAGAAACAGUGUGUUAUCGGAAGACUGUCAUCAUAGUCAUAAUAUUCAAUGCCUGAAUUGCCAUCGUCAUCUGCAUACCAACAGUCUUUUCCUCUGAGUGGACUCCUCCAACCUACUGUGACGACGGAGGAUUUGAGUGGAAACAGCGUCUCUUUGUUAGCCGCAAACUCCCCCUUUUACAGGCCCACAGUGGAAACUUCUAUACUUAGUCAUUCUAGGCUACACUACACUGGAUCUUUUCAUUUUCAAGGUAGUUCAUGGUGUUCACCUCCCUAGAUUUGUAUGAAACUGAUACUAACAGGCUAAAUAAGUUAAGUGGGUAUUUAUACAAAAUUAAGCUUUGCUUUCUGAUCGGAGUUACUCUGUAAAUGCAGACUUUCUGACUGCAAUACCACAUGGUAUUAGUAGUACUUUGCAAUAAAGUGACCCAUAGUAGGAGAAUAUAAACUUUAUAAAUAGCAGAAUGCAAAAUUACUUUGCAAAGCUUCAUUAGCUAGGCUUAUCUAGAUAGUAUGCUUUUGCUCAUCCUGUCAGUCUGAAUGCUCAUGCACAUUUCAGAGGCAUGAAGGUACUGUGUUUCUCUAAAGGUUUGACAAUUGCAGAGGUGUAGACUCAAUAUUGGAGUCCAUUUUUCACAUCCAAUAGUUGGCAAACUGAUGAAGUGGCUGAGCAUUUUUGGACACAUUCCAAACAAUUCAAAAGAUUCCCUUUCUAAGUAAUCAGACUUAUGAUUUUCUCCUGGCGGAUGAUAAAAUGGGCAAAAUAAAUCCUAUAUUACCCUAAAAUAUCUUAUGCAGUGUUGUUUCUAAAACAAGAUAAAUCAAACUGAUCUUGUUUUAAGGAUUUUUUGAUAUUUUUACAGGAAAACAAUACAAAAAUUAUUAUCAAGAAUAAGAUUUUUGCCCUAAUAUCAAAGGUCUUACUAGAAAAAAAGAAAUUAUGAUCUAAUGUGAAUUUUCUUGAUAAAAAAAUAUGAUCGUGCCUGGUAACAUGUGCAUGUAAAAUGGCUAGAAAUAGCAUUUUAGCUUAGCGUAAAGCUGACAGUUUACACAAGGUUUAUUUCUAUUUCUUCUGCUCCAAACUUCAAACUUCUCUGUCUGCUCUUAUGAAUCAUAAGAAAGUGUUUCACCGCUGUUCAAAUGCACUUUUGAUCGCAUCAUUUAUAUGUAUAAAUGUUUUCCAUCUGAAAGGACUAAAUAUUAAAUGAAACAAAUGACAAUAAAAUGCAAAGUAAUCUCAUCAGUAAUCAAAAUACUGUUUGAAUGUAACUGUAUUCUAAUUACAAAUGAUUUAAAUUGUAACUGUAGUGGAAUACAGUUACUUAUAUUUUGUAUUUUAAAUAUGUAUUCCCGUUACAUGUAUGCCAUUACUCCCCAACCCUGUAUAUAAAGUAAACAUGUUAUUAUUAUUAUUGUCAAAAUUAGUGGCAGUAACUCAGUCAAUUGCAUGACACAGGUUGUCAUGAGCUGUAAAAAUGAGAGCGCCUAUUAUGGGGUGACCCGCUCCAUGUAAAAUUAAACAGCUUUUAUUGGGUUACUGAUAUGACUGGACUCUUCAUCUCAUGUGAGUGUACAUCAUUUUCAACAUAUUUAAAAAAAAUGCAAUUUAGCUCUUUAUGUGUAAAACUUUUUUAAUAAGCAAUAACUUACAGUAAUGCACCUUUAAAGGGCAGACUUAGUAAAGCGAUGCUGUACAUUGCCUGUAAAGUAUGCUAGAUCGGGGUAGUUUGCUGCAUGCUCCACAACCUAGCACUCACAACUGGCCUGCAAGCUUUGCAGAAAUAACCAAAGUUCAGCCAUGCAACUCUAUG